rnacentral:rRNA from 1 species
UCAAGCUACAAAGAGCGUAAGGGGAAUGCCUUGGCACCAGGAGCCGACGAAGGACGCAGCGAUCUGCGAAAAGCCACGGGGAGCCGAAAGCAGGCUUUGAUCCGUGGAUAUCCGAAUGGGGAAACCCGCAUGGUUAAUAGCCAUGCGACGUAUACUGAAUAAAUAGGUAUGCGUCGGGAACCGUCUGAACUGAAACAUCUAAGUAGGACGAGGAAAAGAAAUCAACCGAGAUUCCGUAAGUAGUGGCGAGCGAACACGGAAGAGGCCAAACCGAAGGUAGCAAUAUCUUCGGGGUACGGACAGUAAACGGCAUUGCGGUAUCUUAGCAGAAGUGCAUGGGACGGCACACCAUAGAGAGUGAUAGUCUCGUAAGCGAAAAGAGAAGGCAGCCAACUGUAUCCAGAGUACCGCCGGACACGUGAAACCCGGUGGGAACAUGGGGGGACCAUCCUCCAAGCCUAAAUACUCCCUGGUGACCGAUAGAGAACAGUACUGUGAAGGAAAGGUGAAAAGAACCCCGGGAGGGGAGUGAAAAGAACCUGAAACCUUAUGCUUACAAGCACCGAGAGCCCAUCAAAGGGUGAUCGGGUACCUUUUGUAGAAUGGUCCGGCGAGUGAAUGUAACUGGCAAGGUUAAGCACUUAAGGUGUGGAGCCGAAGCGAAAGCAAGUCUUAAUAGGGCGUCAAGUCAGUUGUAUUCGACCCGAAACCGUGUGACCUAGCCAUGAGCAGGCUGAAGUGGAGGUAAAACUCCAUGGAGGGCCGAACCCACUCCCGUUGAAAUGGUAGGGGAUGACUUGUGGCUAGCGGAGAAAUUCCAAUCGAACUCGGAGAUAGCUGGUUCUCUCCGAAAUAGCUUUAGGGCUAGCCUCGAUUUAACAUUACCGGAGGUAAAGCACUGAAUGGGCUAGGGGCCGAGAGGUUACUGAACCCUAUCAAACUAAGAAUGCCGGAUAAUGAUAAUCGGGAGUCAGACAGUGUGAGAUAAGUUUCAUUGUCAAAAGGGAAACAGCCCAGACCCACAGCUAAGGUCCCAAAUGUAUGCUAAGUGGAAAACGAUGUGGAGUUGCGAAAACAACCAGGAUGUUGGCUUAGAAGCAGCCACUCAUUAAAAGAGUGCGUAAUAGCUCACUGGUCGAGUGAUUCUGCGCCGAAAAUUUAACGGGGCUAAAUUGUACACCGAAGCUUGGGAUACAUCUAAUGUAUGGUAGGAGAGCGUUGUAUACGGGGUGAAGUCAGAGCGGAAGCGCUGGUGGACUGUAUACAAGUGAGAAUGCCGGAAUGAGUAGCGAGAAUUAUGUGAGAAUCAUAAUGGCCGAAAGACUAAGGUUUUAGAAGGAAGGUUCGUCCGCUUCUAGUCAGCCGGGAGCUAAGGCGAGGCCGAAAGGCGUAGUCGAUGCACAUACGGUGGAGAUUCCGUAGCCGCCAUUAAUUUAAACAGAGGGACACUUUCAAGGGGCAUGACCCGGGCGUUGGUAGCCCCGGGCGUAAGGGACCGAAGAUUAGUAGGGAAGCAUGCUUUAAGGAAGGCGAGAAAAGCUCUGUGUAUAGAAGAUGGCGCCCGUACCGCAAACCGACACAGGUAGUCAGGAAGAGAAUUCUAAGGCCAACGGGAGAAGGGUAGUUAAGGAACUCGGCAAAUUGACCCCGUAACUUCGGAAUAAGGGGUGCUCACGAGAGUGAGCCGCAGUGAAUAGGUCCAGGCGACUGUUUAUCAAAAACACAGCUCUCUGCUAAAUCGAAAGAUGACGUAUAGGGGGUGACACCUGCCCGGUGCUGGAAGGUUAAGAGGAAGGGUGCAAGCUCUGAAUUGAAGCCCCAGUAAACGGCGGCCGUAACUAUAACGGUCCUAAGGUAGCGAAAUUCCUUGUCGGGUAAGUUCCGACCCGCACGAAUGGUGUAACGAUCUGGACACUGUCUCAACUACCCACCCGGCGAAAUUGUAGUACCGGUGAAGAUGCCGGUUACCCGCGGCAAGACGGAAAGACCCCAUGGAGCUUUACUGUAACCUGAUAUUGGGUUUCGGUAUUUUAUGUACAGGAUAGGUGGGAGACUAUGAAACUAAGGCGCCAGCCUUAGCGGAGUCGCCCUUGGGAUACCACUCUUAAAGUACUGAAAUUCUAACCUGCGGCCGUGAAUCCGGUCGGGGGACAUUGUCAGGCGGGCAGUUUGACUGGGGCGGUCGCCUCCAAAAGAGUAACGGAGGCGCUCAAAGG